rnacentral:rRNA from 1 species
UAGCCGUAAACGAUACUCGCUAGGUGUCGGCCACGGUGCGACCGUUGUCGGUGCCGUAGGGAAGCCGUGAAGCGAGCCACCUGGGAAGUACGGCCGCAAGGCUGAAACUUAAAGGAAUUGGCGGGGGAGCACCACAACGGGUGGAGCUUGCGGUUUAAUUGGACUCAACGCCGGGAAGCUCACCGGAUAAGACAGCGGAAUGAUUGCCGGGCUGAAGACCCUGCAUGACCAGCUGAGAGGAGGUGCAUGGCGUAGACGUCU